rnacentral:tRNA from 1 species
UCAAAAUUGUAGUUUAAUCAAAAUAUUAGCAUUGGAAGCUAAAGAUUGGGUUCCAGUCCCACAUUUUGAA